UAGGGAAUCUUCGGCAAUGGACGGAAGUCUGACCGAGCAACGCCGCGUGAGUGAAGAAGGUCUUCGGAUCGUAAAGCUCUGUUGUUAGAGAAGAACGUUGGUAGGAGUGGAAAAUCUACCAAGUGACGGUAACUAACCAGAAAGGGACGGCUAACUACGUGCCAGCAGCCGCGGUAAUACGUAGGUCCCGAGCGUUGUCCGGAUUUAUUGGGCGUAAAGCGAGCGCAGGCGGUUCUUUAAGUCUGAAGUUAAAGGCAGUGGCUUAACCAUUGUACGCUUUGGAAACUGGAGGACUUGAGUGCAGAAGGUGAGAGUGGAAUUCCAUGUGUGACGGUGAAAUGCGUAGAUAUAUGGAGGAACACCGGUGGCGAAAGCGGCUCUCUGGUCUGUAACUGACGCUGAGGCUCGAAAGCGUGGGGAGCAAACAGG
rnacentral:rRNA from 1 species